UCGCCCCUGGCGCCAGGUGGUGCGGGCCCUGAACGACAAACUCUACGAGAAGCGAAGGUGGCGGCGCUGGAGAUUGAGAAGCCAACCUGCUGGCUGAUAUCUUGCUACUGACAGUGACCAGAGAAACCAGGGCUCAGCUGCUAAACGCUGGCGGCUUCCAGCCCAGUCUAUAUGCAGCUCAGCUAUGUGGCGCUUUGGUCCCAGCUCCGGUGGUUGCUGAACGGCAUGGAACAGUUUCCUACAAUGGAGGAACUAACAAGGCUGCAAUCCCUUGGAAUCUGAGGCAGGGGAUUAACAAGUACCUCUUGGAAACUUUCGAGAGCCUCUCUGGAGGAUUCCCUGCAGGUCUCGAUGUCCAUUGACACCUUGCUUUGCCGUGCAGAUUAGCUACACGCGGCAAUGUCCAGCUCACAGAAAACACUACCUGCCUCCCACUUUUCGAUUCCCUGCACAAACCACAGCAACUUACCCGCCUUCUCAUCUGCUUCCUGCUCCCCGUUGAGCACAUCUGGAGUGGAGAAAAGUUCCUGGCUGCCUGCCCCACUGGGUGACCCCGCUAGGAGCUCCACAUCCUCUUCUAGCUCCACUUCUUCAUCCACAAUUUCAGCCUCCAGGUUGGUGCGAGAAUUCGUGGCUCAGAACAACACAGCACAGAUCAAGCAUGUCAUCCAGAUCCUGUCACAAGAGUUUGCGCUCUCGCAGCACCCUCACAGCAGGAAAGGGGGGCUCAUCGGCCUGGCAGCCUGCUCCAUUGCUCUCGGGAAGGAUUCUGGGCUGUACCUGAAGGAGCUGAUUGAGCCAGUGCUGACAUGCUUUAACGAUGCUGACAGCCGACUGCGGUACUAUGCCUGCGAGGCCCUAUAUAAUAUCGUCAAGGUGGCCAGGGGCUCUGUCCUCCCACACUUCAACGUGCUGUUUGAUGGCCUGAGUAAGCUUGCUGCUGAUCCAGACCCAAAUGUGAAAAGUGGCUCUGAACUACUGGACCGACUUCUCAAGGACAUCGUGACUGAGAGUAACAAGUUUGACCUUGUGGGUUUCAUCCCACUGCUGCGGGAGAGGAUUUAUUCCAACAACCAGUAUGCCCGGCAGUUCAUCAUAUCCUGGAUCCUGGUGCUAGAGUCAGUGCCUGACAUUAAUCUCUUGGAUUACCUCCCGGAGAUCCUGGAUGGGCUCUUCCAGAUCCUGGGAGACAACAGCAAAGAGAUCCGGAAGAUGUGUGAGGUGGCCCUUGGGGAGUUCCUUAAAGAGAUCAAGAAGAAUCCUUCCAGCGUCAAGUUUGCAGAAAUGGCUAAUAUUCUAGUGAUUCACUGUCAGGCUUCUGAUGAUCUGAUUCAGCUGACAGCCAUGUGCUGGAUGAGGGAAUUCAUCCAACUGGCGGGCCGGGUCAUGCUGCCCUACUCCUCAGGGAUCCUGACGGCCGUUCUGCCGUGCCUAUCCUACGAUGACCGAAAGAAGAGCAUCAAAGAGGUAGCUAAUGUGUGUAACCAGAGCCUGAUGAAGCUGGUCAUCCCAGAAGAUGACGAAACAGAUGAGGGCAAGCAAUCCCUGAGCCUCCAGAUGGAGCCCAAGGAAGAGUCCCUCUCCCAGCAAGAGGUGACUUCCAGCGGUUGCCUGGAGGCCUCUAGCGAUUCAAACCUCAGCAGUGCCAGUGUCUUCAAUGUAAGCAGCACUGAGCGGGUCCCGGUGACCCUUAACCUCGAUGGGAUAGUGCAGGUGUUGGACUGUCACCUUCACGACACAGCCAUCGGGAUGAUGACCAGAAUUGCAGUCCUGAAAUGGCUCUAUCACUUGUACAUCAAGACUCCGCGGAAGAUGUUCCGGCACACAGACAGCCUCUUUCCCAUUUUGCUACGGACAUUGUCGGAUGAGUCAGACGAGGUUAUUCUGAAGGACCUAGAAGUUUUGGCUGAGAUUGCCUCCUCUCCUGCAGGUCAAACGGAAGAUCAGGGGCCAUGCGAUGGCUCCGAUACGCGAUCUGGCCAAUUGGAGUUACACAUUCCCGUCGUCAAAGCCAGCCAGCUGAGCUCCUCUGGUAUGAAAGGCAUGGAGUGCUCCCCCUCCACCCCCACCAUGAACUCCUACUUCUACAAAUUCAUGAUCAACCUCCUCAAGAGAUUCAGCAGUGAGCGGAAGCUGCUGGAGACCAGAGGAGCAUUCAUCAUCAGAGCUGCUUCCUCUUCAAAUUCCUAUAGGACCACAGCUGGUGAUCAAGGCAUGGAUGCAGCGUGUCCUGGAGGCUGGCUGCAGAGACGGGGUCGCUCGUCCAUAUGUCACGUGGUGGGUUGCACUGCUUGGGUGCGAAGCAACAGGCAGCUUUGUCUGCUUCUCAAUGCUGAAAACAUCUUCCACUCUAUGGCAGACAUCCUGCUGCGGGAAGAGGACCUCAAGUUUGCCUCGACUAUGGUCCACACUCUCAACACAAUACUGCUGACUUCCUCCGAGCUCUUCCAGCUGCGAAACCAGCUCAAGGACCUGAAGACCCCGGAGAGUCGUAACCUGUUCUGCUGUCUCUACCGCUCCUGGUGCCACAACCCUGUGACGACCGUGUCCCUCUGCUUUCUCACCCAGAACUACAAACAUGCUUACGACCUCAUCCAGAAGUUCGGGGACCUGGAGGUCACAGUGGAUUUCCUCACUGAGGUAGACAAGCUGGUGCAGCUCAUUGAGUGUCCGAUUUUCACGUAUCUGCGGCUGCAGCUGCUGGACGUGAAGAAUAACCCCUACCUGAUCAAGGCUCUCUACGGACUGCUGAUGCUUCUGCCUCAGAGCAGUGCCUUCCAGCUCCUCUCUCACCGACUGCAGUGCGUACCCAACCCCGAGCUCCUGCAGACCACGCAUUUGGCAUCUGGGAUGGAAAAUUUCACUUGCAGGGUCGCCAUGGAAACAAGCAGAGCCUUGGAGCAGAUUUACACUGAAUGGAGACCGGCGCAGCUCUCCUCAGCUGCCCUAGCUUGUUAGGAACAGCCCCCGGGAGCCUACCCAGGGGCUGCCUGCACCGGGCUUGCCUGGUGUGCGCCAGCACUGGGCGUCCUACCCUGGGAGCUGCUUCAGCCCCUUUCACCCUAGCCGGCCACUAGCGCACAUGCCAGUGCUAGCAGCCCUGCGAGUCUGGUGGGCUGCUGGGCCCGCGCUACUCCGGCCUUUGAGAACCAUCGAUCGCCUUUGCCUGCUCUGCCGUCUUGCCAGCAGUCGCCUGCUUGGGGUGCAUCUGCUGCUCUUGGCCCCUACGCUGCUGGGCAGCAGCACAGGCUACGUGAUCAUAAUGGCCCCUUCUGGCUUUAACUCUACGGACUGGCUGGGACACUGCUUAGGGGGCAGGGACCUAGACAUCAGCUGUGCAGACUGGGCCCAGCCCGGUAUGCCCAUCUGCUGUAUACCCAGCCAGCUCUGCAUCCUGCUGCAGGCAGUGAGCUCUCCAGCUGAGCACACAACGCAGCCCGGGAGCUGACCCAGUGACCUAGUGGCUGGGGCCCUCCAGCUUGGAGCCAGAGAUCAGGGCUUGUCCUGGUGCUUCGCUCUUCAGGCUGACCCAGGGCAGCCAGGUUCUGAUCCUUGCUGGACGUCUGUCCACCAUGCUAUGAAAUCUCUGGAGCAGAAUGCAGCUAGCGCUGAAGGUCGCCAACCAGGUGAGACCUCCUGGGAGAGGGAAGCUGUGGCAUGCUAGGGUCUCCAGCCUGUGCUGUUAAUUCUUCGCUAUCAUAAAACCAGUGCCAGGCAUAAAAUGUCCCAGUGGACAGCACUAAGACCACCCUGGGCUUCAAGAAAGCAACCAGCACCAACAUCGACUACCUGGAGCUGCUGCAGCACUUUGAGCGAG